GUUUUAAUAAUUUAAUAAAAAAUAUUGGUCUUGUAAACCAAAAACAAGAAUAAUCAACCUUUUAAAACU
rnacentral:tRNA from 1 species